rnacentral:rRNA from 1 species
CACGUAGGGUGCGAGCGUUGUCCGGAAUUAUUGGGCGUAAAGAGCUCGUAGGCGGUGUGUCGCGUCGGCCGUGAAAACCUGCAGCUUAACUAUGGGCUUGCGGUCGAUACGGGCAUCACUGGAGUUCGGCAGGGGAGACUGGAAUUCCUGGUGUAGCGGUGAAAUGCGCAGAUAUCAGGAGGAACACCGGUGGCGAAGGCGGGUCUCUGGGCCGAUACUGACGUGAGGAGCGAAAGCAUGGGUAGCGAACAGG